rnacentral:rRNA from 1 species
UACGUAGGGGGCAAGCGUUGUCCGGAAUCAUUGGGCGUAAAGCGCGUGUAGGCGGCUCGGUAAGUCUGUUCUGAAAGUCCAGGGCUCAACCCUGGGAUGCGGAUGGAUACUGCCGAGCUCGAGUCCGGAAGAGGCGAGUGGAAUUCCUGGUGUAGCGGUGAAAUGCGCAGAUAUCAGGAGGAACACCAAUGGCGAAGGCAGCUCGCUGGGACGUGACUGACGCUGAGACGCGAAAGCGUGGGGAGCAAACAGG